CAGAGGGUGCAAACGUUGUUCGGAAUUACUGGGCGUAAAGCGCGUGUAGGCGGCUAUGCAAGUCGGGCGUGAAAUCCCACGGCUCAACCGUGGAAGUGCACUCGAAACUGCGUAGCUAGAGUCUCGGAGAGGAAGGUGGAAUACUUGGUGUAGAGGUGAAAUUCGUAGAUAUCAAGUGGAACACCGGUGGCGAAGGCGGCCUUCUGGACGAUGACUGACGCUGAGACGCGAAAGCGUGGGGAGCAAACAGGAUUAGAUACCCUGGUAGUCCACGCCGUAAACGAUGAGUGCUAGGUGUCACGGGCUUUGACCCUCGUGGUGCCGAAGCUAACGCGUUAAGCACUCCGCCUGGGGAGUACGGCCGCAAGGCUA
rnacentral:rRNA from 1 species